rnacentral:rRNA from 1 species
AUCGAACGCUGGCGGCAGGCCUAACACAUGCAAGUCGAGCGAGCGGCGGACGGGUGAGGAAUGCCUGGGAAUGGCCCAGUCGCGGGGGAUAACAGUUGGAAACGACUGAUAAUACCUCAUACGACUUGAUUGCUCGGGGGGGAUUAGCCAGUUGGUGAGGUAACGGCUCACCAAGGCGACGACGCCUAGCGGGUCUGAGAGGAUGAUCAGCCACACUGGAACGGAGACACGGUCCAGACUCCUACGGGAGGCAGCAGUAGGGAAUCUUCCACAAUGGGGGAAAGCCUGAUGCAGCAAUGCCGCGUGAGUGAAGAAGGCCUUCGGAUUGUAAAGCUCUUUUGGCGGGGAAGCGUUAUUCAAACAGAAAGCAACGGCUAACUACGUGCCAGCAGCCGCGGUAAUUC